GGUGGACAGUGGCGCACGGGUGAGUAACACGUGAGCAAUCUGCCCGGAAGCCCGGAAUAGCCCUCCGAAAGGAGGAUUAAUGCCGGAUGUGGCCAACCCGCGAUUGCGGGUGACGCUAAAGAUUUAUCGCUUCUGAGAGGAGCUCGCGGCCCAUCAGCUUGUUGGUGAGGGUAACGGCCCACCAAGGCGGUGACGGGUAGCUGGUCUGAGAGGAUGGUCAGCCACACUGGAACUGAGACACGGUCCAGACACCUACGGGUGGCAGCAGUCGAGAAUCAUUCGCAAUGGGGGCAACCCUGACGAUGCGACGCCGCGUGAAGGAUGAAGGCCCUAGGGUUGUAAACUUCUGUCAAGAGGGAAUAAGCAAGUGAAGGUACCUCUAGAGGAAGGGGCGGCUAAUUCCGUGCCAGCAGCCGCGGUAACACGGAAGCCCCGAGCGUUGUUCGGAUUUAUUGGGCGUAAAGGGUGCGUAGGCGGCGCGGAAAGUCUGGUGUGAAAGGCAGGGGCUCAACCCCUGGACUGCACUGGAUACUCCCGUGCUUGAGGACUGGAGGGGAGACUGGAAUUCACGGUGUAGCAGUGAAAUGCGUAGAUAUCGUGAGGAAGACCGGUGGCGAAGGCGAGUCUCUGGACAGUUCCUGACGCUGAGGCACGAAGGCUGGGGUAGCGAACAGGAUUAGAUACCCUGGUAGUCCCAGCAGUAAACGAUGUGAGCUUGAUGUGGGGGGAUUCGACCCCUUCCGUGUCGAAGUUAACGCGAUAAGCUCACCGCCUGAGGAGUACGAUCGCAGGAUUAAAACUCAAAGAAAUUGACGGGGACCCGCACAAGCGGUGGAGUAUGUGGCUUAAUUCGAUGCGACGCGAAGAACCUUACCUGGCCUUGACAUGCAUUGUGUCGUCGGUGAAAGCCGGCUAGUCCUGGAAACAGGACGCUUUGCACAGGUGCUGCAUGGCUGUCGUCAGCUCGUGUCGUGAGAUGUUGGGUUAAGUC
rnacentral:rRNA from 1 species